GCCGGGAUGGCGGAAUUGGUAGACGCGCCGGAUUCAAAAUCCGGUGCCCGCAAGGGCGUAUGGGUUCGAGUCCCAUUCCCGGUA
rnacentral:tRNA from 1 species